rnacentral:pre_miRNA from 1 species
AAUGCUUUGCUAGAGCUGGUAAAAUGGAACCAAAUCGACUGUCCAAUGGAUUUGGUCCCCUUCAACCAGCUGUAGCUGUGCAUUGAG